rnacentral:rRNA from 1 species
AGUCGAGGGGCAGCAUGAUUGAAGCUUGCUUCAAUUGAUGGCGACCGGCGCACGGGUGAGUAACACGUAUCCAACCUGCCGAUAACUCGGGGAUAGCCUUUCGAAAGAAAGAUUAAUACCCGAUAGUAUAGUAUUUCCGCAUGGUUUCACUAUUAAAGAAUUUCGGUUAUCGAUGGGGAUGCGUUCCAUUAGAUAGUUGGCGGGGUAACGGCCCACCAAGUCAACGAUGGAUAGGGGUUCUGAGAGGAAGGUCCCCCACAUUGGAACUGAGACACGGUCCAAACUCCUACGGGAGGCAGCAGUGAGGAAUAUUGGCCAAUGGACGAGAGUCUGAACCAGCCAAGUAGCGUGAAGGAUGACUGCCCUAUGGGUUGUAAACUUCUUUUAUACGGGAAUAAAGUGGAGUAUGCAUACUCCUUUGUAUGUACC